rnacentral:pre_miRNA from 1 species
AGCCUUCUGUAUCCAUGCUGAGAUUUCGUCACAAACCAGACCACAAGGGCUGAUGAGACUUCCAAGAUAAGUGAAGCG